rnacentral:snRNA from 1 species
UGAUGUGAGGGCAAUCUGACUGCGACAUCUGUCACCCCAUUGAUCGCCAGGGUUGAUUUGGCUGAUCUGGCUGGCUAGGCGGGUGUCUCCUCCCUCCCUCCCCGCUCCCUGUGUGUCCCUCCCGAAGUUGCGUGCUUGGUCGAAGAGGAUGGGCUUCCCAGAAUAGAGACGGAAUGGUCUUUGGUUGAUGGCAUACGAGUAGCUCUGCUCCCCUUUCCUAGUACCUCCAAACAAGCUCUCAAAUGCAGUACUACAGGGAAAAAAUACUAACUCUAUUGGAAAGUUUAAGGGGAGAAGGGCUGGCCACAGGAGGAAGCCCACAGGGAGAGAGCAAUGAUUAGCUGUUUCCCUACUC